rnacentral:rRNA from 1 species
GACGGGACCCGCACAAGCGGUGGAUGAUGUGGUUUAAUUCGAUGCAACGCGAAAACCUUACCCACCUUUGACAUGGCAGGAAUCCCGAAGAGAUUUGGGAGUGCUCGAAAGAGAACCUGCACACAGGUGCUGCAUGGCUGUCGUCAGCUCGUGUCGUGAGAUGUUGGGUUAAGUCCCGCAACGAGCGCAACCCUUGCCAUUAGUUGCUACGAAAGGGCACUCUAAUGGGACUGCCGGUGACAAACCGGAGGAAGGUGGGGAUGACGUCAAGUCCUCAUGGCCCUUAUAGGUGGGGCUGCACACGUCAUACAAUGGCCGGUACAGAGGGUAGCCAACCCGCGAGGGGGAGCCAAUCCCACAAAGCCGGUCGUAGUCCGGAUCGCAGUCUGCAACUCGACUGCGUGAAGUCGGAAUCGCUAGUAAUCGCGGAUCAGCAUGUCGCGGUGAAUACGUUCCCGGGUCUU